AUGGAGGAAGAGGGCGCCCCGGCGCUGCGCGUGAUCCGGAGCUCCAUCGACGCGCUGGGGCGAGGGUUCGAUGCCACCCACGACACCAGGCUGCUCUACUGCAAGGGGUCUCGCCUCGUCGGCGUCGACGACGGCGAGCUGAGCUCCAGGGAUCUGGUCAUGCCUGACGGGCUCACUGUCCCCGGUGUGCCCAAGGAUGUUGACUGCUCCGGUGAGAGUGGGGUUGGUGUACCGGAGACCGCUGGCCCGUGCGCCUUCCACGAGAUGGCUGGGUAUUUCAAUAAAAAAGCCCAGCUUGCAGGAGAUAUACCUCUUGGAAGCUUUAAUUCAGCAUAUAGCUUUACUGGAUCCAAGAGAUUUGAUGCCAUGGCUACCAAAAGUCUCGGGAUGGAGGGCAAGACCAUUCCUUUAUAUAAGGUCCAACUUGUGCGACAGCCUUUGUCAGUGGUAGAGGAAGUUAAGCAUGCAGUGCCUCACUCAUGGGAACCAUCAUCUCUCGCAAGGUUCAUUCAGAAUUAUGGAACGCAUGUCAUAACAUCCAUUACCAUUGGCGGGAAGGAUUUGAUUUACAUCAAGCAGCAUCCGUCAUCAUCACUUUCCGUGGUGGAAAUUAAAAAUUAUAUACACGAUCUUGGACAUCAGAGGUUUACUGAAAAUGAAAUCCAUACAGGCUCAGGCCCUAUAAGAUCAAUGAAUAAGGAAAGAGAAAAUCUUGGGUUCAACAGCCAAGGAGUAUAUCCACAACCUCCAAGCACACCAUAUAUUGCAGCAAAAGAGGAUGUCACUGUGAUUUUCAGAAGGAGAGGAGGAGAUGAUUUAGUUCAAAGUCAUUCUGAGUGGGCAAGAACUGUUAACUCAGCGCCUGAUGUUAUACAUAUGACCCUUUUCCCUCUAACGACUCUGUUGGAAGCAGCCAUCCCUGGAAAAGACCAUCUCAUCCGGGCGAUCAACCUUUAUCUAGAAUAUAAACCUCCAAUUGAGGAGCUGCGUUACUUCCUAGAGUUCCAGCUUCCCAGAGUUUGGGCACCAAUUCGUGAUGAGCACCCUCUCCAUCAAAGGAAAGAGCCUGUGUGCCCAUCCUUGCAGUUCAGCUUGAUGGGGAAAAAGCUGUACAUCAGCCAAGAACAGGUGUCAGUGGGUCGCAAGCCAAUAACUGGCCUAAGGUUAUGCUUGGAAGGUGCUAAGCAGGACAGGCUAUGCAUCCAACUGCAGCAUCUAGCAUCUCUUCCAAAGAUCCUCAAGCCUUACUGGGAUGCACACAUCACGAUUGGUGCAGCGAAAUGGCAGGGGCCGGAGGAGCAGGACAGCCGCUGGUUCGAGCCUGUGAAGUGGAAUAGCUUCUCCCACGUCAGCACAGCUCCAGUUGAGCACCACGAGGUGCUCAUCGGGGAUGCCUCCGGCGUGUACAUUGUCACUGGGGCACAGCUCGGGGUGUGGGACUUUGGUUUGAAGAACGUCCUGUACAUGAAGCUUCUCUACUCGAGGGUCCCCGGUUGCACCACCCGGAGAUCGCUGUGGGAUCACAGCCCUGCCGCCGCCAGCAGCCAUCCAACAGUUGGUCCUUCUAACAUCAUGUAUCUGGACCCGGGGGGUUCUGGCGUAGGCUCGAGCGAUGCAGGGAAGUUCGUGAAGAUCGUGGACAGGUCGGAGCUGUGCAAAGGCCCUGACGACAUGCCGGGGCACUGGCUGGUGACGGGCGGGAAGCUUGGUGUUGAAAAGGGGAGGAUUGUUCUGAGAGUGAAGUAUUCCUUGUUGAAUUACUGA
rnacentral:rRNA from 1 species